UCACCGGCUCUGGGCAGAAUAAUUCUGAGAAACGCUGUUCACUGUUUUCGGUUUUAAUUAAUCUCUUUAUUUAACAAAUGUAUUUUAAAUGUCCCCUGCGUGCCAGGCAUUGUCCUGGGUGCUGGACACACAGCAGUGAACGGCAGUGACCACAGGCCCUCCCUCCUGGAGCUUACGUUCCAGUGUGAGACACAGGCGAUGAACAAAGGAAGAACUUUAGAGAUGAGUAUUAAGUGCUAUGGAGAAAAAGUAAAGUCGUCGUAAGCGCUGGGAAGUGGAGUGUGGGAAUUUUGGAUGGGAGGUUAAGGAAGUUCUCAUCAAAACUUGACAUGUGAGUCAAGACCUGAAGGAAGAGAAGGACUGGUCGCUCUCUGGCUAAAGAGCAAUCCAGAAAGAGGGAGCAGAGGAUGCCCAGUGUUUAGAGGCACAGCGUGGAGGCCGGUGCGUCUGCAGCCGCACGGGUGGAGAAGGUGGUCUCAUCUCUGGACGAGAGCCGUUAAGAGCCAGUGUACGAUGUGUCCCGUUUCCUUCCCCUGCCAUGGUGACGAGUGCCGGAGGCUCUGUUGUUCUGUUGUUCUGUUCCUGAGUGAGGGACGUGAGCAUGGUGCCUUCCGACUCGCAGUUCUCAGCCCUCCACAGCCUGCGUCUCCCUCAGGCCUCGGUCUCCCUCCAAGCAUUUUAUCGCACCAGACUACAGUUGUGGCCAAACCUAACAUUUAGAGAGAAAGAGACAAAUGUGAUCGAAGUUGGUUUUGAGUGAACAGCAUUAUUGUGGAAAAACCCAUGGAGUGUCCCCUACCAGCGGCCGCUCCUGCAGCUCUCGGGGGAGCACAGCCUGCUCCUCUGGCUUCGGACUCGGAUCUCCUGUCCCUGGUGAUGAAGCUUUAAGGACUCUUCUCAGAAGCAUUCUUAUUUAUUUCACAGAUAUUGCAUUAUCCCGAACUGUCUAUUCGGCGCAUUUAAGCGGGGAGAAGAAAGAAUCUAGAUUUCCCCAAAGUAAUGACAAGCUGGACCAGGUGAUCACUAUAGUUCAUUUCAGCUCUUAGAAUCAGUCAUUUGUUUUUCUGCCAUUUAGUACACUUAAGGAAUGACUCUAUUUUUCCUUUUUCCCUACCCCAUUCCCUGGUGUGGGUCCAAGAAAAAGGAAAAGCAAUUUAAUUUUAAUGUUAUCUGAAGUCAGACAUAAUUAAGAAGACAAAUCUGCUGGAAAAAAAAUCUGCAUUCCAAAGCCAAAUACGGUAGUGUCGGCAGUCAGCCCCAGUGCCGAGCUUGCACAUCAACUGUGCCCUAUGAGGCUUUCACUGAAUGUAAUGGUUGUGUUUUGAGAGGGCAUGAUGUGACCCAUGGUAUUUCAAAUUCCUAAGAGUAACAAGCCAUGGAAAAACAGGAUUUAUUUAUAUCCAUGAGUUUAUGAAUCAUCUUUUGAUCUAGCAUAGUGAGAAGAGUGUCAGACUGCAGCAACCUUGUCAAAGGGCCACCUAGGAUAUUGUCAAAAACACGAAUUUCUGGGCUCCACCCAGACUUACUAUGUUCAAAUUUCUGGGGUAGAACCCAACACUCUGAAUUUCUAUAAGCUGCUCAGUUUGAGAGCUCAUUAAAAGUGUGGCAACCAUUAAUCAAGUUAGUCAAAUUAGAGAAUUUUCCUCACCUGCACAAGGAGACCAUCAACCUUUGCUCUGUUUGCAGCACAGAGCUUUGGCACAGGUUGAAAGGAAAUUGUGUGCCCCAAAGCCUUUUGCCCAAUGAAAAUUCAUCUGUCAACAUCCGCGUAUGUUGUUAUUGUCAAGGGCAACUAAAGCCUAGACUGACAGCCAUCUUUUGCUUUUGCAUUUUCUCAAAAAUGUCUCAGGUCCCCUUCCUCUCCGGCGCUCAGGCACGGAGUGUCUGAGUGUGAUGUGUUCAUUCUACACACCCAGCUGCAGCUGAGCGUCUGUCAGCUGCGCCAGCUUCAAAGUGCAGGCGGAGUCGGCUGUGAGCAGGUUUCGUUUGUGCACUUACAGAUUUUAAAGGGACAAGUCCAUUGUUCUCUUCUGUUGAUCAGGGACACAAAGCUAUUAGCUCUAGG